rnacentral:rRNA from 1 species
UACGUAGGUGGCAAGCGUUUGUCCGGAUUUACUGGGCGUAAAGAGCGCGCAGGCGGUCGUUCAAGUCGAGUGUGAAAGCCCCCGGCUCAACUGGGGAGGGUCAUUCGAUACUGAUCGACUCGAAGGCAGGAGAGGGUAGUGGAAUUCCCGGUGUAGUGGUGAAAUGCGUAGAUAUCGGGAGGAACACCAGUGGCGAAGGCGACUACCUGGCCUGUUCUUGACGCUGAGGCGCGAAAGCUAGGGGAGCAAACGGG